rfam:Drosophila simulans chromosome 2L, whole genome shotgun sequence.
GAUGGGGCGCUCAGGCUAUAAGGUAGAGAAAUUGAUGUUGUCUACACUAUUCAGACUUCAGUUUCAUUGCCUUUCAAUUUGUUUGCCCCCCU